rnacentral:rRNA from 1 species
UACGUAGGGGGCAAGCGUUGUCCGGAAUCAUUGGGCGUAAAGCGCGUGUAGGCGGCUCGGUAAGUCCGCUCUGAAAGUCCAGGGCUCAACCCUGGGAUGCGGGUGGAUACUGUCGGGCUCGAGUCCGGAAGAGGCGAGUGGAAUUCCUGGUGUAGCGGUGAAAUGCGCAGAUAUCAGGAGGAACACCAAUGGCGAAGGCGG